rnacentral:rRNA from 1 species
UACGGAGGAUCCAAGCGUUAUCCGGAUUCAUUGGGUUUAAAGGGUCCGCAGGCGGACUGAUAAGUCAGGGGUGAAAUCCUACGGCUCAACCGUAGAACUGCCCUUGAUACUGUUAGUCUAGAGUACAGUUGAGGUGGGCGGAAUGUGUCAUGUAGCGGUGAAAUGCAUAGAUAUGACACAGAACACCGAUCGCGAAGGCAGCUCACCAAGCUGUAACUGACGCUCAGGGACGAAAGCGUGGGGAUCAAACAGG